rnacentral:rRNA from 1 species
UAGGGAAUCUUCCACAAUGGACGCAAGUCUGAUGGAGCAACGCCGCGUGUGUGAAGAAGGUUUUCGGAUCGUAAAGCUCUGUUGUUGGUGAAGAAGGAUAGAGGCAGUAACUGGUCUUUAUUUGACGGUAAUCAACCAGAAAGUCACGGCUAACUACGUGCCAGCAGCCGCGGUAAUACGUAGGUGGCAAGCGUUGUCCGGAUUUAUUGGGCGUAAAGCGAGCGCAGGCGGAAUGAUAAGUCUGAUGUGAAAGCCCACGGCUCAACCGUGGAACUGCAUCGGAAACUGUCAUUCUUGAGUGCAGAAGAGGAGAGUGGAAUUCCAUGUGUAGCGGUGGAAUGCGUAGAUAUAUGGAAGAACACCAGUGGCGAAGGCGGCUCUCUGGUCUGCAACUGACGCUGAGGCUCGAAAGCAUGGGUAGCGAACAGG